AUUGAACGCUGGCGGCAGGCCUAACACAUGCAAGUCGAACGGCAGCACAGUAAGAGCUUGUUCUUACGGGUGGCGAGUGGCGGACGGGUGAGGAAUAUAUCGGAAUCUACUUUAUCGUGGGGGAUAACGUAGGGAAACUCACGCUAAUACCGCAUACGACCUACGGGUGAACGCAGGGGAUCUUCGGACCUUGCGCGAUUGUAUGAGCCGAUGUCGGAUUAGCUAGUUGGCGGGGUAAAGGCCCACCAAGGCGACGAUCCGUAGCUGGUCUGAGAGGAUGAUCAGCCACACUGGAACUGAGACACGGUCCAGACUCCUACGGGAGGCAGCAGUGGGGAAUAUUGGACAAUGGGCGCAAGCCUGAUCCAGCCAUACCGCGUGGGUGAAGAAGGCCUUCGGGUUGUAAAGCCCUUUUGUUGGGAAAGAAAAGCAGCAGGUUAAUACCCCGCUGUUCUGACGGUACCCAAAGAAUAAGCACCGGCUAACUUCGUG
rnacentral:rRNA from 1 species